rnacentral:tRNA from 1 species
ACCUUCAUCGUGUAGUGGUCAGCACACUGGGCCCGUAUUCCAGAGGUCUAUUGUUCAAGUCCCAGUGAAGGCG